rnacentral:rRNA from 1 species
UUGCGGAAGGAUCAUUGU